UCACAGUACUCAAUGUGGCACACAGGGCACCAGUACGGACACUAGGUGAGUCACAGUACUCAAUGUGGCACACAGGGCACCAGUACAGACACUAGGUGAGACAAUGUACUCAAUGUGGCACACAGGGCACCAGUACAGACACUAGGUGAGACAAUGUACUCAAUGUGGCAC